rnacentral:rRNA from 1 species
GUAGGGCGCAAGCGUUAUCCGGAAUUAUUGGGCGUAAAGAGCUUGUAGGCGGUUCGUCGCGUCUGGUGUGAAAGCCCAUCGCUUAACGGUGGGUCUGCGCCGGGUACGGGCGGGCUAGAGUGCAGUAGGGGAGACUGGAAUUCCCGGUGUAACGGUGGAAUGUGUAGAUAUCGGGAAGAACACCAAUGGCGAAGGCAGGUCUCUGGGCUGUUACUGACGCUGAGGAGCGAAAGCGUGGGGAGCGAACAGGAUUAGAUACCCUGGUAGUCCACGCCGUAGACGGUGGACGCUGGAUGUGGGGCCCAUUCCACGGGUUCCGUGUCGGAGCUAACGCGUUAAGCGUCCCGCCUGGGGAGU